rfam:Brachypodium distachyon strain Bd21 chromosome 5, whole genome shotgun sequence.
UUAUUAUUCCUUCGUCUAACAAAGGAUGUCUCAACUUUGACUAAAUUUGAAUGCAUCUAUACAUUAAGUUAUAUCUAUAUACAUCUAAAUUUUGACAAACUUGAGACAUCUUUUGUUGGACGGAGAGAAUAAUUU